rnacentral:rRNA from 1 species
GACGAACGCUGGCGGCGUGCCUAAUACAUGCAAGUAGAACGCUGAAGGAGGAGCUUGCUUCUCUGGAUGAGUUGCGAACGGGUGAGUAACGCGUAGGUAACCUGCCUGGUAUCGGGGGAUAACUAUUGGAAACGAUAGCUAAUACCGCAUAAUAGUAGAUGUUGCAUGACAUUUGCUUAAAAGGUGCAAUUGCAUCACUACCAGAUGGACCUGCGUUGUAUUAGCUAGUUGGUGGGGUAACGGCGCACCAAGGCGACGAUACAUAGCCGACCGCGGAGGGGGGUCGGCCACACUGGGACUGAGACACGGCCCAGAGUCCUGCGGGAGGCAGCAGUAGGGAAUCUUCGGCAAUGGACGGAAGUCUGACCGAGCAACGCCGCGUGAGUGGCGAAGGUUUUCGGUUCGUAAAGCUCUGUUGUGAGAGAAGAACGAGUGUGAGAGUGGAAAGUUCACACUGUGACGGUAUCUUACCAGAAAGGGACGGCUAACUACGUG